GCCUGGGUGGCUCAGUCGGUUAAGCAUCUGACUUCGGCUCAGGUCAUGAUCUCGCGGUCCGUGAGUUCGAGCCCCGCGUCAGGCU
rfam:Felis catus isolate Cinnamon breed Abyssinian chromosome B1, whole genome shotgun sequence.